rnacentral:rRNA from 1 species
AGAAUGAACGUUGGCGGCGUGGAUUAGGCAUGCAAGUCGUACGGGCCGCAAGGCCAGUGGCGCAAGGGUGAGUAAGGCGACGGUAACCAACCCCAAGAUUGGGUAUAGCCGCGGGAAACUGCGGGUAAUCCCCAGCGACGUCCGGGAGGGGCAUCCUUCCUUGACCAAAGCUCCGGCGUCGUGGGACGGGCUGUCGUGGUAUUAGCUUGUUGGCGGGGUAAUGGCCCACCAAGGCUCUGAUGCCUACCGGGCGUGCGAGCGUGGCCCGGCACACUGGGACUGAGACACGGCCCAGACUCCUACGGGAGGCAGCAGUGGGGAAUCUUGCGCAAUGGGCGAAAGCCUGACGCAGCAACGCCGCGUGAGGGACGAAGGCCUUCGUGGGGUUGUAAAACCUCUUUCAGCAGGGACGAUGAUGACGGUACUGCAGAAGAGCCCCGGCAACUACGUGCCAGCAGCCGC